AUUGAACGCUGGCGGCAGGCCUAACACAUGCAAGUCGAGCGGCAGCGGGAAAGUAGCUUGCUACUUUUGCCGGCGAGCGGCGGACGGGUGCGUAAUGCCUGGGAAAUUGCCCAGUCGAGGGGGAUAACAGUUGGAAACGGCUGCUAAUACCGCAGACGCCCUACGGGGGAAAGCAGGGGACCUUCGGGUCUGGAGCGAUUGGAUGUGCCCAGGUGGGAUUAGCUAAUUGGUGAGGUAAUGGCUCACCAAGGCGACGAUCCCUAGCUGGUCUGAGAGGAUGAACAGCCACACGGGAACUGAGACACGGUCCAGACUCCUACGGGAGGCAGGAGUGGGGAAUAUUGCACAAUGGGGGAAACCCUGAUGCAGCCAUGCCGCGUGUGCGAAGAAGGCCUUCGGGUUGUAAAGCACUUUCAGCGAGGAGGAAAGGUUGAUGCCUAAUAUGUAUCAACUGUGACGUUACUCGCAGAAGAAGCACCGGCUAACUCCGUGCCAGCCGCCGCGGUAA
rnacentral:rRNA from 1 species